CAUUUUUAAAGUGAAUACAAAUAUUCUGUGUUCCUUCAUUGAAGAACACAAGGAAGGAUUUUCUAAGAGAUCUACUCUGGAUUUCUUGCGUCACUGUUCCUCUGCUCAAGAAACACACAUCUCAGGUCUCUGCCCUCCGAGGUGGGGCCCCACCUGCUCAGAGGCUCUCAGAGCCUCAGCACUGCCCUCAGACGAGCCCUUGUUCAAGACCCUUGUUCGUGGCUGGUGAACAAGUGCUCAGGAGCUUGACCUGUGGCUGAGAUGGAACUCUUAGUAUCCAGUCCUUGGCCGCUGGUCACUGCAUUUGGGACUAGCCCUGGAGCCCUCUCCCCUCCUGGGACACCUGGUCUGAGAUCUUUGGCCAGAAAUCCCAGCGCCCACUCUAUUCCCUGUCAGGCCUGGCUUGUCCCUAGAGGGAUGGUGUGUGUUGUUUCCUGAGAAUAGAUGUCCUCUUCUUUCCCAUCUCAGGAGUCUCUCUAGUGGCUUCAGAAAAGUGAAAGUCAUACUAGAAAAGAGAGACUCAUGUGCUCUUGGGUCUGGGCCCCGGGUUCCUUACCUUCCUGAUGCUCCCGUGUGUCCUAGGUGGUAGUGAGGACGGAUCACUCCUGAGGUAGGGGAGUAGUAGGAAGAAGAGCCCCAGUCCACACACCAAGGCGAGGAUGGUUUCAUCCACCCAGGAAUCGGGACUGGGGCGCCACCAAAGAGCACAAAUAUUUUUCACAAAAGAGCGAAGAGUCUUUGUCUCUUCACAAGACUUUCACAGGAAAUAACACUGUUACCCUCAGGCAACUGAACCCUGUGAAUGACCUGGCAGUUAGAGCCCCAGGCUCAUACCACAGAACUGCAGCCACAUCACAAAGGGCUCUUGAGGGUGGGGGAGGGGACAGGAGGGGAGGAGGCUGGGCCAGCGCCCCUCCCCUGCCACCCAGCCCCUCAGCUCUCUCCUUCCAGCCUCUUGGGCCUUCUAGACCUCAAUCAAUUUUUGGAUCAUUUCACCUGAAAGCCAGGAUUGAUUGCCUGUAA
rnacentral:lncRNA from 1 species